rnacentral:rRNA from 1 species
UACGUGGGGGGCAAGCGUUGUCCGGAUUUAUUGGGCGUAAAGAGCGUGUAGGCGGUCUGGUAGGUCCGUUGUGAAAACUCGAGGCUCAACCUCGAGACGCCGAUGGAAACCAUCAGACUAGAGUCCGGAAGAGGAGAGUGGAAUUCCUGGUGUAGCGGUGAAAUGCGCAGAUAUCAGGAAGAACACCCGUGGCUAAGGCGGCUCUCUAGUACGGUACUGACGCUGAGACGCGAAAGCGUGGGGAGCGAACAGG